rnacentral:rRNA from 1 species
UACUCCUACGGGAGGCAGCAGCAAGGAAUAUUGCGCAAUGGACGAAAGUCUGACGCAGCGACGCCGCGUGAGGGAUGAAGGCCUUCGGGUUGUAAACCUCUUUCAGCAGGGAAGAAGCGAAAGUGACGGUACCUGCAGAAGAAGCACCGGCUAACUACGUGCCAGCAGCCGCGGUAAUACGUAGGGUGCAAGCGUUGUCCGGAAUUAUUGGGCGUAAAGAGCUUGUAGGCGGUUUGUCGCGUCUGCUGUGAAAUUUCGGGGCUCAACCCCGAACUUGCAGUGGGUACGGGCAGACUAGAGUGUGGUAGGGGAGACUGGAAUUCCUGGUGUAGCGGUGAAAUGCGCAGAUAUCAGGAGGAACACCGAUGGCGAAGGCAGGUCUCUGGGCCACUACUGACGCUGAGAAGCGAAAGCAUGGGGAGCGAACAGGAUUAGAUACCCUGGUAGUCCAUGCCGUAAACGUUGGGAACUAGGUGUGGGCCUCAUUCCACGAGGUCCGUGCCGCAGCUAACGCAUUAAGUUCCCCGCCUGGGGAGUACGGCCGCAAGGCUAAAACUCAAAGGAAUUGACGG